UUUGGAUAUCGAAAAAGGUCUCAGCCCAUGGCGACAUGGAGCAAUUUAAAACCAAUUUUUUAGUUUUUUGUGCCGACCGAUAUCAUCCAGUUGCAGACCUGUGUCCAUCCUUGUACCCAAAUUGCAGUCAAUUUGUAAAAGAACAGAUAAGGUUGAUGAAAGUUUGCGAUAAAAACGUUCUCUCUAAUGAAAAACUUCUGGAGGCAAUUCAGUUUUAUACGUCAGAAGGCAUAGAAGGGCCAUUUCUUGUAAACCAUAUCUCUCAUUGCAGAAAUGGAUGGGAUUUCUGGUACAUUUGCGUAGACUGGACUUUACUUCUUCACUGGAAAUACUGAUGGAGACUUCCCCUCAGUACCCUCAACCACAGUGUCCCUAUUUAUAUGUGAAAAAAGCUUGUUCUGACCCUGAGUUUAAAUACGCCCCACUAAACUACCUUGCACACUGCCAUCGUUUCAAUGUUGAAAAUAUUAAACCUCAUAUUGAUUCCGCCUUGGAAAUGGCUCAUAACUCACAAGACGAGUCGUCGGUGCUAUUUGUCUUGGUUGGCAUCCUCUUGUUUAUAUAGGCCUGGAUAUCCAAGCUUUCCACGUGUCCUCAGCUCGAGUUUUCUUCAGAAUUGAC